AUUGAACGCUGGCGGCAGGCCUAACACAUGCAAGUCGAGCGGAGCGACGGCCGGGUUGGUAAUGCCUAGGACUCUGCCUGGUCGUGGGGGAUUUCUUCCGGAAACGGGCGCUCAUACCGCAGACUAUCAGUUGACCCGAGGUCGGAUUAGCUAGUUGGUGGGGUAAAGGGCUACCAAGGCGACGAUCCGUACCUGGUCUGAGAGGAUGAUCAGUCACACUGGAACUGAGACACGGUCCAGACUCCUACGGGAGGCAGCAGUGGGGAAUAUUGGGCAAUGGGCGAAAGCCUGAUCCAGCCAUCCCGCGUGUGUGAAGAAGGUCUUCGGAUUGUAAAGCACUUUAAGUUGGGAGGCGUUACCAACAGAAUAAGCACCGGCUAACUUCGUGCCAGCAGCCGCGGUAAUUC
rnacentral:rRNA from 1 species